AGACAAAUGGAGCAGCCAUUUUCCACAGGACUCAGAGAGCACCACAAAGAGAAGUAAAGAAGUUUAUUCAGUUGUGCAGUUCCAAGAGCAUGACACUGUCUUCCUCAAGCUCUGGUUGUGACCUCAUGGUAGUAACAACAGGGGAAACCAAGAAGAGUUCUUGAAAAUAAAGAGCUGAACUGGGCUCCGCAAGCUGACUUUGUG